AAACGACUCUCGGCAACGGAUAUCUCGGCUCACGCAUCGAUGAAGAACGUAGCAAAAUGCGAUACUUGGUGUGAAUUGCAGAAUCCCGUGAACCAUCGAGUUUUUGAACGCAAGUUGCGCCCGAMGCCUCUGGUUGAGGGCACGUCUGCCUGGGCGUCACGUA
rnacentral:rRNA from 1 species